rnacentral:rRNA from 1 species
UACGGGGGGGGCAAGCGUUGUUCGGAAUUACUGGGCGUAAAGGGCUUGUAGGCGGCCAACUAAGUCGGAUGUGAAAUCCCCAGGCUUAACCUGGGAACUGCAUCCGAUACUGGUCGGCUUGAAUCCGGGAGAGGGAUGCAGAAUUCCAGGUGUAGCGGUGAAAUGCGUAGAUAUCUGGAGGAAUACCGGUGGCGAAGGCAGCCUUCUGGGCCAACACUGACGCUCAUGCACGAAAGCGUGGGGAGCAAACAGG